UUAAGCAUAUCAAUAAGCGGAGGAAAAGAAACUAACAAGGAUUCCCCUAGUAACUGCGAGUGAAGCGGGAAGAGCUCAAAUUUAAAAUCUGGCGUCUUCGGCGUCCGAGUUGUAAUUUAGAGAAGCGUUUUCCGUGUCGGACCGUGUACAAGUCUCCUGGAACGGAGCGUCAUAGAGGGUGAGAAUCCCGUCUUUGACACGGACCCCCGAUGCUUUGUGAUACGCUCUCGAAGAGUCGAGUUGUUUGGGAAUGCAGCUCAAAAUGGGUGGUGAACUCCAUCUAAAGCUAAAUAUUGGCGAGAGACCGAUAGCGAACAAGUACCGUGAGGGAAAGAUGAAAAGCACUUUGGAAAGAGAGUGAAACAGUACGUGAAAUUGUUGAAAGGGAAACGUUUGAAGUCAGUCGCGUCCGUCGGGAUUCAGCCCUCGUGGUGUACUUCCUGAUGGACGGGCCAGCAUCACUUUCGAUCAUCGGAAAAGGGCUAGAGGAAUGUGGCACCUCCGGGUGUGUUAUAGCCUCUGGUCGUAUGCGGUGACCGGGAGUGAGGAACGCCUUUGUAGGAUGCUGGCGUAAUGGCUUUAAACGACCCGUCUUGAAACACGGACCAAGGAGUCUAACAUGCCCGCGAGUGUUCGGGUGGAAAACCCGUGCGCGUAAUGAAAGUGAAAGUUGGGAAGGCUGUCGUGGCCUGCACCGACGCCCGGACUUGAGAUUUAUCGAAGGUUCUGCGGUAGAGCGUGUAUGUUGGGACCCGAAAGAUGGUGAACUAUGCCUGAAUAGGGUGAAGCCAGAGGAAACUCUGGUGGAGGCUCGUAGCGAUUCUGACGUGCAAAUCGAUCGUCAAAUUUGGGUAUA
rnacentral:rRNA from 1 species